CUUCGCUGCUGCUACUGCUACAAGUCCGGCGAGUCGCGCCUUCGGCAGAGGGUUGAGGCGAGCGAACCGAUGAAGGGCGGCGGCGGUGGGUGGAACCGGCGAGAUGGGAGAUGGUGGAAUUGGAAAGAUGGAGGUGGUAGAGUGAGAUGGGAGAUGGGAGGCGGUGGAAUUGGAAUGGAGGGUUGAAAUAAUUAAGAUUUUGUUGGCAUAAUUAAAUUUUUUAAUUAAGUGUUAAUUAUAACCUAAAAAGGAAACAGGCCAUUAUUUGUGGGACAACCUAAAGAGGAAAACAGGUCAUUAUUUAUGGGACGGAG
rnacentral:lncRNA from 1 species